rnacentral:tRNA from 1 species
GUCAGGAUGGCCGAGCGGUCUAAGGCGCCAGACUCAAGGUUCCCUUGCCCGUUGAAAACGGGUUCGAGUUGUUCUGGUCCUCUCUGAGGGCGUGGGUUCGAAUCCCACUUCUGACA